rnacentral:rRNA from 1 species
UACGUAGGGGGCGAGCGUUGUCCGGAAUUAUUGGGCGUAAAGAGCGUGUAGGCGGUUCGGUAAGUCUGCCGUGAAAACCUGGGGCUCAACCCCGGGCGUGCGGUGGAUACUGCCGGGCUAGAGUGCGGAAGAGGCGAGUGGAAUUCCUGGUGUAGCGGUGAAAUGCGCAGAUAUCAGGAGGAACACCAAUUGCGAAGGCAGCUCGCUGGGACGUUACUGACGCUGAGACGCGAAAGCGUGGGGAGCAAACAGG